GAAACAUCCUCCUCCCAGCUAUGCUUGUUUCCUGCUUUCUGGGGCUGGGGGUGAAGAAUCUGAGUCACUGGGAUCCCAAGGCAGGGACAAGUUCUGCCAUGUGUCUGAGUGAAAUGGGCCAGGAUAUAGGCCAACCACCAGCUGGUGGAGCUCAUGGGUCAGGCUGUCCACUGGCUCUGACCACCGUGAUGACCACCCGGAGUUCUGGCACCAUCGAACUUGGAAGCAGAAUGUAUUUGGCUGUGAAGGAUGGCCACAGUGAAGCAAAGCUCCCUGGUGAGGCCUGUUGAAUUUACAACUCUCCUCUUUGUGAUGGGGCCAGACUUCCCAGUUCAAAUUAGACCCAGGAUGUUCUGUUAAAAAGAGGAACAGGCCAGGUGCCGUGGCUCACGCCUGUAGUCCCAGCACUUUGGGAGGCCGAGGUGGGUGGAUCACCUGAGGUCAGGAGUUCGAGACCAGCCUGGCCAACAUGGUGAAACCCUGUCUCUACUAAAAAUACAAAAAUUAGCUGGUCAUGGUGGCACAUGCCUGUAAACCCAGCUACUCAGGAGGCUGAGGCCGGACAAUCACUUGAACCUGUAGUGAGCCGAGAUCGCACCAUUGCACUCCAGCCUGGACAACAAGAGCAAAACUCUGUCUCAAAAAAAGAAGAAGAAGAAGAAAAUGAGGUCUUCUAAACUGAUAGUCAAAGAGUCUUAUGAAAGCUGAGGAUAGAAGCUCACUGCCAUUUAAACCACGGGAAGAGGGGAAGAAGAAAAUCAGCAAGGGGUUAGAGAGGUCUGUUUGUGGAAGAGGCCAGGCUCAGCCCUGCCUGGGGCCUCAGUCUCCUGAUGGGGCAAGGACAAAAGGGGAAAGUGUGAACAUGUAAUAUGCCUUUCCUGUGUGGGAGUCCUUACGACAUGGUUUGCAUCAGAGGCUUCAUUCAUUCAUCCCAAAGACACUAAAGGGUACAUGCUGCCAUAUCCAUUGCAGAGAUGAGAAAACAGGCAAAGAGGGUGUGAAGUGGCUUGCCCUUCCACCAACAGCUCAUUUCAGAGCUAGGAGAAAGACAUUGGGGGCAGACAACCUCAAAGUUUUCUUCCAUCCUGAAAGGUUGGUUCAAGGAAAAUGUAGUAGAAUGAAUAAUGCCCUUCCCGCCACGACCACCACCAAAGAUAUGUCCUGGUCCCCAGACCCUGUGAAUAUGUUACCUUAUACGGCGAAAGAGAUUUUGCAGAUGUGAUUCUGUUAAGGAUUUUGAGACGGGGAGAUUAUCUUGUAUUAUCAGGGUGACCCCAGUAUACUCACAAGGAUACUUAAAAGUAAAAGGAAGUAGAAGAGUUCAUCAGAGGAAGAUGUGACUGCAGAAAAAAGGCACAGAGAUGCAUUGCUGCUGCCUUUGAAGAUGGAGGAAGGGGCCACAAGCCAAGGAAUGCAGCCAACCUUUAGAAUCUGGAAACUGAUUUCCCCUAGAGCCUCCAGAAGGAUCACCACAGCCUUCCCAAGGCUUCCGUUUUAGCCCAGUGGGACACAUGUCAGACUUUCAACGUGUCAGAACUGUGAGAUAAUAAAUUUGGGUUAUAUUGAGC
rnacentral:lncRNA from 1 species